CCUACGGGAGGCAGCAGUGGGGGAUAUUGCACAAUGGGGGGAACCCUGAUGCAGCGACGCCGCGUGGGUGAAGGAGUGCUUCGGCAUGUAAAGCCCUAUCGGCAGGGAAGAAGCAAGACGGUAUCUGACUAAGAAGCCCCGGCUAACGACGUGCCAGCAGCCGCGGUAAUAAGUAGGGGGCGAGCGUUAUCCGGAUUCACUGGGGGUAAAGGGAGCGUAGGCGGCAGAGCAAGCCAGGGGUGAAAGCCCGGGGCCCAACCCCGGGACUGCCCUUGGGACUGGCUGGCUAGAGUGCGGGAGAGGGGGGCGGAAUUCCAGGUGUAGCGGUGAAAUGCGUAGAGAUGAGGAGGAACACCGGCGGCGAAGGCGGCCUGCUGGACCGCGACUGACGUUGAGGCGCGAAAGCGUGGGGAGCGAACAGGAUUAGAUACCCUAGUAGUC
rnacentral:rRNA from 1 species